UACGUAGGGGGCAAGCGUUAUCCGGAUUUAUUGGGCGUAAAGCGCGCGCAGGCGGCACGCAGUAGUGGCUCGUGGAAUCUCCGCGCUCACCGCGGAGGGGUCGGGCCAGACGGGCGUGCUCGGGUCGGGGAGAGGGUCGCGGAACGGGCGGAGUAGGGGUGAAAUCCGUAGAGACCGUCCGGAACACCAGUGGCGCAGGCGGCGACCUGGCCCUGUACCGACGCUCAGGCGCGAAAGCACGGGGAGCGAACGGA
rnacentral:rRNA from 1 species